rnacentral:lncRNA from 1 species
CUGUAGUAUAGCCAUAAUCCAACUGUAAUAUAGCUGGAAGAUAACUAAUGAAGCUUUACUGGCUAAGUGAAAUCAGCUAAGUCCGAUGGGAUCGGUCAAGUCUGAUGUCCCCUUAUUGGGAAUUGAGUAAUAUAUCGAUAGGUCGGUAAUAACCUGAUCCGGCUUAAGCAGUGAUGGUGAAUUUUUAGAUCAGCUGAUAUAAUAUGGUGAUGUUUUUCCUACAGAUCGGCUAAAAUCGAUAUUCCGCUAAUACAAACUAAACAGGUCAG